rnacentral:rRNA from 1 species
AGUGAACGCUGGCGGUAGGCCUAACACAUGCAAGUCGAACGGCAGCACAGUAAGAGCUUGCUCUUACGGGUGGCGAGUGGCGGACGGGUGAGGAAUACAUCGGAAUCUACUUUUUCGUGGGGGAUAACGUAGGGAAACUUACGCUAAUACCGCAUACGACCUACGGGUGAAAGCAGGGGAUCUUCGGACCUUGCGCGAUUGAAUGAGCCGAUGUCGGAUUAGCUAGUUGGCGGGGUAAAGGCCCACCAAGGCGACGAUCCGUAGCUGGUCUGAGAGGAUGAUCAGCCACACUGGACCUGAGACACGGUCAGGACUCCUACGGUAGGCAGCAGUGGGGGAUAUUGGACAAUGGGAGGAAGCCUAGGCCAGCCAUACCGCGUGGGUGAAGAAGGACUUCGGUUUGUAAAGCCCUUUUGUUGGGAAAGAAACGCAGCAGGUUAAUCCCCCGCUGUUCUGACGGUACCCAAAGAAUAAGCACCGGCUAGCUUCGUG